rnacentral:rRNA from 1 species
GAUGAACGCUAGCGGGAGGCUUAAUACAUGCAAGUCGAACGGUAACAGGUUUCUUCGGAGAUGCUGACGAGUGGCGCACGGGUGAGUAACGCGUACACAACCUACCUAUAAGAGGUGAAUACCCUCUGGAAACGGAGAAUAAUACACCAUAGUAUUAGACGAUAGAUAGUUGUUUAAUUAAAGUUUCGGCGCUUAUAGAUGGGUGUGCGUACUAUUAGCUAGUUGGUAAGGUAACGGCUUACCAAGGCGACGAUAGUUAGGGGGCGUGAGAGCGUGAACCCCCACACGGGUACUGAGACACGGACCCGACUCCUACGGGAGGCAGCAGUAAGGAAUAUUGGACAAUGGAGGGAACUCUGAUCCAGCCAUCCCGCGUGUAGGAAGACUGCCCUAUGGGUUGUAAACUACUUUUAGAUAGGAAGAAUGUGUGAUAUUUAUAUCAUUUUGACGGUACUAUCAGAAUAAGCACCGGCUAACUCCG